CGGCCUGGCGGCGAGUGGCGAACGGGUGAGUAAUAUAUCGGAACGUGCCUUAGAGUGGGGGAUAACCAGUCGAAAGACUGGCUAAUACCGCAUACGAUCUACGGAUGAAAGUGGGGGAUCGCAAGACCUCAUGCUCUUAGAGCGGCCGAUAUCUGAUUAGCUAGUUGGUGGGGUAAAGGCCUACCAAGGCGACGAUCAGUAGCUGGUCUGAGAGGACGACCAGCCACACUGGGACUGAGACACGGCCCAGACUCCUACGGGAGGCAGCAGUGGGGAAUUUUGGACAAUGGGGGCAACCCUGAUCCAGCAAUGCCGCGUGUGUGAAGAAGGCCUUCGGGUUGUAAAGCACUUUUGUUCGGAAAGAAAUCGUCCUGGCUAAUAUCUGGGAUGGAUGACGGUA
rnacentral:rRNA from 1 species